rnacentral:misc_RNA from 1 species
UAUAUAUAGGGGGGGGGUGAGAGCUGUUAGCCAGGAAGAUCAAAAAUGAGGUUGCCUAUUAUCUUGGCUAACGGUCUCGCGUACGUGCUUUUUAAGUCUCGUUUUGUUGGAACCGGUGUCGUUUUCCCUCCCAACGCCGUUCCGACAUGCUUGCCGAACGAUCCUGGAACGGCUUAUUACUCGUCACGCCAGCCUAGCUAGUGGACUUGUUUUGAGUAGUUUUUAGGUGACGGUGAGCAUGACGAGCCACAUGGGAAUGGUUCUCCACGUCGAAGAAUGUCCCAACGUCGUUCCAACAAGCUUGCCCGAUUGCCCCGUAACAGCUUAUUACUCGUCACGCCGGCUUAGCUAGUGGACUUGUUUUGAGUAGUUUGAGGUGACGGUGAGCAUGUCGAGCCAUGUAGGAAUUGUUCUCCAUGUUGAAGAACUUCCCAACGUUGUUCCAACAUGCUUGCCAGAUUCCUAAAACAACUAAUUACUCGUCACGCCAGCCUAGCUAGUGGACUUGUUUUGAGUAGUUUGAGGUGACGGCGAGCGUUAAGAGCAACGUAGGAAUUGUUCUCCACGUUGAAGAACGUCCCAACGUCGUUCCAACAUGCUUGCCGGAUGAUCCUAUAACGUCUUAUUACUCGUCACGCUAGCCUAGCUAGUGGACUUGUUUCGAGUUGUUUGAGGUGACGGUGGGCCUGACGAGCUACGUAGGAAUUGUUCUUCAAGUCAAAGAACGCCUUUUCCUAGGUGACCAAAACAACGUCAUGAAGUAGUCGUUCUUGUUGAUCUGAGUUUGUUGCAAGACUUGAUUUAACAUUGCGGUGUUGGGGCUUGUCUUGUGCAUAAAUUUGAUCCGAGCUUAUGGCGAAACUGACGAGGACCCUUUCGAAGAAACUGGUGGCGUUGUGACCCUUUCGAAGAAACUGGUAGCCUGUGCUAGUGAUGUUUGCUUGUUAUUCUCUUCGCAUCGUUCGGUGCAUCCUGGGAGCUGUCCAUACUCUUUGUUGCUUUCUUGGCUUGUAUGCUGAGUGGGUGGCAAAUUUGUUAGGUUGCUUUCGUGGAUGAUUAUCGUAAAGGUGCAUGAGUGGUGUUUGGUUUGUUACCGGUGGUUGGCUCUUUGCUUUUGCAACAACUUCCGCCUGGCAUUCCUCUUCAGUCUUGCGUCAAGGUUGCAUUUCCUUGAGCGUUUAUGGUUUUCUGUGUUGCCUACCUAUGUGACGGUAACGGUUGAUUACAUCAAAGUCUUUGUUCAUCAAGGGUCAUUUGUAUGGCGUAGGAUGAACCUCAAAGCAGCUUUCUAUGGUCCACCUUGUUUAUGCACAUGCAUAGAUGUUGUGGCUCAUUGAGUUCCGCUUGGUUUUCUGGAUAUAGAACAUGAUAUGGGUGUGGGUCUUUUUUGGAUCCUUGUUUUGCCCUUUUUGAACGUUGUUGUUACUCCUAGAUGUGACCGCCUAUCCUGAAUUGGCUCGUACCACCGGGGUAGGUAGUUUGUUGAAGGGCAAUAAUAGCGUUCUUGCUUCUCUAAGACCGACGGCCUCGCCUGGAUUGGGCUCUUACCAGCAGGCGGGCGAUGUCAAAGAGGGAUGC